CCUACGGGUGGCAGCAGUGAGGAAUAUUGGUCAAUGGGCGCGAGCCUGAACCAGCCAAGUCGCGUGAAGGAUGACUGCCCUACGGGUUGUAAACUUCUUUUAUAAAGGAAUAAAGUCAGGCACGUGUGCCUUUUUGUAUGUACUUUAUGAAUAAGGCUCGGCUAACUGCGUGCCAGCAACCGCGGUAAUACGGAGGAUCCGAGCGUUAUCCGGAUUUAUUGGGUUUAAAGGGAGCGUAGAUGGGUUGUUAAGUCAGUGGUGAAAGUUUGCGGCUUAACCGUAAAAUUGCAAUUGAUACUGGGAGUCUUGAGUGCAGUUGAGGUAGGCGGAAUGCGUGGUGUAGCGGUGAAAUGCUUAGAUAUCACGAAGAACGCCGAUUGCGAAGGCAGCUUACUAAACUGCCACUGACAUUGAGGCUCGAAAGUGUGGGGAUCAAACAGGAUUAGAUACCCUAGUAGUC
rnacentral:rRNA from 1 species